CAGUUUGUUUUUUCUACUCAGUGACUGCAAGCCAAGGAGUGAGGGCUCAGAAGAAACCAAAUCUGUCAACAUCUUGAUCUGGGACUCCUGGCCUCCAGACUGUGGGAAGAUAAAUUUAUGUUUGCCUUUGGUAACUUAUUAUGGCAGCCCGAGCUGACUACCACAAGAGGGGUCUCUGAGCUACCUGAAGGGAAAGGAUAAAGCAAAGAACGACAAGAGAUGAGAUGGGGGACAGAGGUGAUGUGCAGGGACUUGCAUGCCACAGUAAGGGGCUUAAAGAUUUUCCUGCAGGGUCUACACCUGGAGACUCCCACCUAAGAUGGGGGUUUAGAUGAGACCACUCUGGGAGGACACGCAGCCGAGUGUGGAGGCCCCAAGGAAGAUCAGCUCUGAAGACACAGGCAGGCAAAGGGCAGACCUCGAAGGAGAUGGAGGAGGAACGAGAGAGGGCAAGAAGAGUCAGGUAAUCUACCUAUGUCCACCCACAAAACAGAACGGACCUGUAAAACACUGCACUCCUACAGCAGCCUGGACUCAACAGCCCAGCCCGGCUCCUCCUCAUCCCUGCAUUCUUGGAACUGUGCUCAUGGUCCAAGCCGGCCUGCCGGCGAUCAGUCUUCCCCCUGACAAGGCUCACUGGAAAACUGUUUCUUUUUUUCCCCUUGAAAGGGUCUGUGUCAACCGCCUCUACAAAUGCCAGACUGUCGAUUCAUCACCGUUACAGAGAAUGGAAGAUAAUCACUUCAAUGACAUCUUCAUCCUAAAAACGUUUCUUUCUUGUCUUUUUUUUUUUUUUUUAAUCACAGAGUUGAUUAUUUUUCCCAAAUAAGAGAUGGGCAGGAAAGUGAUAUUUCAAAUCUCAAAAAACACAAGCCCUCUUGCUUCUAUUCCCCACCAUAAAUUCUUUUUGGCUCCAAGUGGUGGAGGAGAAGGAGGUGGCAGGCAGGGGUGGCUUGCAGCCACACUCCCGUGUUGUCAUUCUUCCCCAGCAGACCACCUCUGGGGCUGCCUCCUCCACAGAGGCCAAGCGUAUUGCAUGUCUGCCGCCUUGCCCCUCGAGAUUAAAAAUAUCAUGUCUGGUCUGAAAACACUUUCUCAAGGCUGUUCCUGAACACUACCUACCCACCCAGAUUAGAAGACUGCGUCUGUUAAUCUAAAACAUGUUUCUAGCAGAGGAGGAAGGAGUGCCUUCAUUACUCCCAGGAGCU